rnacentral:rRNA from 1 species
AUUGAACGCUGGCGGCAGGCUUAACACAUGAAAGUCGAGCGAGCGGCGGACGGGUGCGUAAUGUCUGGGACACUGCCUGAUGGAGGGGGAUAACUACUGGAAACGGUAGCUAAUACCGCAUACCCUCAGAUGUGCCCAGAUGGGAUUAGCUAGCAGGUGGGGUAAUGGCUCACCUAGGCGACGAUCCCUCACUGGUCUGAGAGGAUGACCAGCCACACUGUAACUGAGACACGGGCCAUACUCCUCCGGGAGGCAGCAGUGGGGAAUAUUGCACAAUGGGCGAAAGCCUGAUGCAGCCAUGCCGCGUGUGUGAAGAAGGCCGUCGGGUUGUAAAGCACUUUCAGCGAGGAGGCGUUACUCGCAGAAGAAGCACCGGCUAACUCCGUGCCAGCAGCCGCGGUAAUUC